rnacentral:rRNA from 1 species
GAUGAACGCUGGCGGCGUGCCUAAUACAUGCAAGUCGAGCGAACGGACGAGAAGCUUGCUUCUCUGAUGUUAGCGGCGGACGGGUGAGUAACACGUGGAUAACCUACCUAUAAGACUGGGAUAACUUCGGGAAACCGGAGCUAAUACCGGAUAAUAUUUUGAACCGCAUGGUUCAAAAGUGAAAGACGGUCUUGCUGUCACUUAUAGAUGGAUCCGCGCUGCAUUAGCUAGUUGGUAAGGUAACGGCUUACCAAGGCAACGAUGCAUAGCCGACCUGAGAGGGUGAUCGGCCACACUGGAACUGAGACACGGUCCAGACUCCUACGGGAGGCAGCAGUAGGGAAUCUUCCGCAAUGGGCGAAAGCCUGACGGAGCAACGCCGCGUGAGUGAUGAAGGUCUUCGGAUCGUAAAACUCUGUUAUUAGGGAAGAACAUAUGUGUAAGUAACUGUGCACAUCUUGACGGUACCUAAUCAGAAAGCCACGGCUAACUACGUGCCAGCAGCCGCGGUAAUACGUAGGUGGCAAGCGUUAUCCGGAAUUAUUGGGCGUAAAGCGCGCGUAGGCGGUUUUUUAAGUCUGAUGUGAAAGCCCACGGCUCAACCGUGGAGGGUCAUUGGAAACUGGAAAACUUGAGUGCAGAAGAGGAAAGUGGAAUUCCAUGUGUAGCGGUGAAAUGCGCAGAGAUAUGGAGGAACACCAGUGGCGAAGGCGACUUUCUGGUCUGUAACUGACGCUGAUGUGCGAAAGCGUGGGGAUCAAACAGGAUUAGAUACCCUGGUAGUCCACGCCGUAAACGAUGAGUGCUAAGUGUUAGGGGGUUUCCGCCCCUUAGUGCUGCAGCUAACGCAUUAAGCACUCCGCCUGGGGAGUACGACCGCAAGGUUGAAACUCAAAGGAAUUGACGGGGACCCGCACAAGCGGUGGAGCAUGCGGUUUAAUUCGAAGCAACGCGAAGAACCUUACCAAAUCUUGACAUCCUUUGACAACUCUAGAGAUAGAGCCUUCCCCUUCGGGGGACAAAGUGACAGGUGGUGCAUGGUUGUCGUCAGCUCGUGUCGUGAGAUGUUGGGUUAAGUCCCGCAACGAGCGCAACCCUUAAGCUUAGUUGCCAUCAUUAAGUUGGGCACUCUAAGUUGACUGCCGGUGACAAACCGGAGGAAGGUGGGGAUGACGUCAAAUCAUCAUGCCCCUUAUGAUUUGGGCUACACACGUGCUACAAUGGACAAUACAAAGGGCAGCGAAACCGCGAGGUCAAGCAAAUCCCAUAAAGUUGUUCUCAGUUCGGAUUGUAGUCUGCAACUCGACUACAUGAAGCUGGAAUCGCUAGUAAUCGUAGAUCAGCAUGCUACGGUGAAUACGUUCCCGGGUCU